rnacentral:rRNA from 1 species
GAUGAACGCUGGCGGCGUGCCUAACACAUGCAAGUCGAACGGGAACAGAAUGAAACCUAGUGAUUUCUGUUUCAGUGGCGGACGGGUGAGUAACGCGUGGGUAACCUACCUUGCACUGGGGGAUAACACUUAGAAAUAGGUGCUAAUACCGCAUAAGCGCACAAUACCGCAUGGUAGAGUGUGAAAAACUCCGGUGGUGCAAGAUGGACCCGCGUCUGAUUAGCCAGUUGGCGGGGUAACGGCCCACCAAAGCGACGAUCAGUAGCCGGCCUGAGAGGGUGAACGGCCACAUUGGGACUGAGACACGGCCCAA